CCCCUGGAGGAUGAUAAACUGAUCUCUCACAUCCUUGCGGGGCUUGACAUGGAGUACCAGCCGCUGGUCUCAGCGCUGGAUGCUCGCACCAUCCCGGUCACGCUCGAUGAGCUCUUUGCUCAGAUGAGCAACUUCGACC
rfam:Triticum aestivum genome assembly, contig: Triticum_aestivum_CS42_TGACv1_scaffold_212662_3AS